UCGGUAUAGGUACCGGAUACAUUUCAAGAAAGUGUUUUUUUUUUUUUAUAUAUAUAUAUGGGAGGUUAGGGUUAGGGCUAACCCUAACCCUAGAGAAAAGGGUUUCUGUUAUCUUCGGAAAUGUAAAGAAAGCCACUUCCGGUACGAAACAUCCGGUGAUAAUGUUGUCAUCACACAGAAAUAUUUUUCUAAAAGUUUUUUGCAACAAGUGAACAACAACUGGUCAGAAGACGACCGACAUUCAUAAUUUAAAUAUAAAACCUUUCUUUCAUGCGUUCAAAUACAUCCGAAUCAAUACUUGAAACCAGAAAAAAAGUUUUAAUGAUUUCUAUAAUCUAAGUUUUCAUUAAUUCAAGAGAUAAUGGACAGUCAACAUCCAUUGAAAAGGUUACAAAAGCAAUUAAAAUUUUGGAAAAGAGAAAAUAUAGAUAAUAAAUGGAAAUUGACCAGGUCAGUGUGUUACAUAUAUAUUAGGCCUGAAAUUUUGUUGAAGGCAAUUAGUUGAUUGAAUGGACCUAACGAUGAUGAUGAUGAUGAUGACGCAAAGAAGCAGAAGAAAUAAUAGACACAAGGACAGCAACUUUAAGAAGUGCGAGUUAAACUUUCAACGUAAAGAACCGGAAUGAUCUGUCACAACUUGGGCUAUUAAAAGGAACUCCAUCUUAACUAAUUCAUGUCUAUAUAUAACUAGCAGAAAUACCCAGCGUUGCCCAUUUUAAAGAACCUAAGGAAAUUCAAGAAUGCCUUUUAGAUCUCUAAAUAACAUGAAUCAUGGACCAUGCAGGCCUCACCUCCUAGUAGCUGAGAUACCAACUUUAUAUGUUAACUAGCAACUAAGCCCGAUUUCACCCAGUCGAUUUGGAUGAUGUGGUUGUAAAACCUGCUCUGUGUAAGCAUUCGACUUGAUUGGGUAUGCUUAUGUUAAAAAACAAUUUUAGAAUGACUUUUUUUCUGUCAAAACGCU